AAUCAACGCUGGCGGCGUGCCUAACACAUGCAAGUCGAGCGCGAAAGGGGAGCAAUCCCCGAGUAGAGCGGCGAACGGGUGAGUAACGCGUGGGUAAUCUACCUCCGAGUGGGGAAUAACAGCGGGAAACUGCUGCUAAUACCGCAUGACAUCGUCGAGCCCUCGGGCCUGACGAUCAAAGCCGGGGACCGCAAGGCCUGGCGCUUGGAGACGAGCCCGCGUCCGAUUAGCAGUUGGCGGGGUAAUGGCCCACCAAGGCUCCGAUCGGUAGCCGGCCUGAGAGGGCGGACGGCCACACUGGGACUGAGACACGGCCCAGACUCCUACGGGAGGCAGCAGUGGGGAAUUUUUCGCAAUGGGGGAAACCCUGACGAAGCAACGCCGCGUGGAGGAUGAAGGCCUCGGUCGUAAC
rnacentral:rRNA from 1 species